CGCGUAGGCGGCCAAGUAAGUCGGAUGUGAAAGCCCUGGGCUUAACCUAGGAACUGCAUUCGAUACUGCUUGGCUAGAGUAUGGUAGAGGGAAGUGGAAUUCCGGGUGUAGCGGUGAAAUGCGUAGAGAUCCGGAGGAACACCAGUGGCGAAGGCGGCUUCCUGGACCAAUACUGACGCUGAGGCGCGAAAGCGUGGGGAGCAAACAGGAUUAGAUACCCUGGUAGUCC
rnacentral:rRNA from 1 species